rnacentral:rRNA from 1 species
GCUGUACCACCCUGAACCCACUCUUGUCUGGUCUCCAAAGCUAAGCAGGGUUGGGCCUGGUUAGUUCUUACUGGGAGAAUGUCACAUACUGGGGUGAAGAGCAAAGCGUGGAGACUCAGGAGGC